GAUGAAGAACGCAGCGAAAUGCGAUAAGUAAUGUGAAUUGCAGAAUUCAGUGAAUCAUCGAAUCUUUGAACGCACAUUGCGCCCGCCAGUAUUCUGGCGGGCAUGCCUGUUCGAGCGUCAUUUCAACCAUCAAGCCCCAGGCUUGUGUUGGGGACCUGCGGCUGCCGCAGGCCCCGAAAACCAGUGGCGGGCUCGCUGUCACACCGGGCGUAGUAGAUUUUAUCUCGCUCAGGGCGUGCUGCGGGUCCCGGCCGUUAAAAGCCUUUUUUUACCCAAGGUUGACCUCGGAUCAGGUAGGAAGACCCGCUGAACUUAAGCAUAUCAAUAAGCGGAGGA
rnacentral:misc_RNA from 1 species